rnacentral:tRNA from 1 species
GGGCCGGUGGUCUAGCGGUUAUGACGCAUCGUUUACACCGAUGAAGUCGCAGGUUCGAUUCCUGCCCGGCCCA